rnacentral:rRNA from 1 species
CAGUCGCCGCGGUAAUACGUAGGGUGCGAGCGUUAAUCGGAAUUACUGGGCGUAAAGCGUGCGCAGGCGGUUGUGUAAGACAGGUGUGGAAUCCCCGGACUUAACCUGGGAACUGCGCUUGUGACUGCACAGCUAGAGUAUGGCAGAGGGGGGUGGAAUUCCACGUGUAGCAGUGAAAUGCGUAGAGACGUGGAGGAAUACCGAUGGCGAAGGCAGCCCCCUGGGCCAAUACUGACGCUCAUGCACGAAAGCGUGGGGAGCAAACAGGAUUAGAUACCCGUGUAGUCCCUGUCUCUUAUAC